UACGGAGGGUGCGAGCGUUAUCCGGAAUUACUGGGUUUAAAGGGUGCGUAGGCGGCGCUGUAAGUCAGGAGUGAAAGUUUGCGGCUCAACCGUAAAAAUUGCUUUUGAUACUGCGGUGCUGGAAUUAGGAUGAGGUCAGCGGAAUGUGGCAUGUAGCGGUGAAAUGCAUAGAUAUGCCAUAGAACACCAAUUGCGAAGGCAGCUUACUACACAGUAAUUGACACUGAGGCACGAAAGCGUGGGGAUCAAACAGG
rnacentral:rRNA from 1 species